CCUACGGGGGGCUGCAGUGGGGAAUAUUGCACAAUGGGGGAAACCCUGAUGCAGCGACGCCGCGUGAAGGAAGAAGGUUUUCGGAUUGUAAACUUCUAUCGAUGGGGAAGAAAAAAAUGACGGUACCCAAGUAAGAAGCCCCGGCUAACUACGUGCCAGCAGCCGCGGUAAUACGUAGGGGGCAAGCAUUAUCCGGAAUUAUUGGGUGUAAAGGGUGCGUAGGUGGUAAAUUAAGUCAGGAGUUAAAGACCUGGGCUCAACUCAGGGGGUGCUCU
rnacentral:rRNA from 1 species